UAUGGCCAUAUCACAUUGAAACAUUAUUCUCAUCUAAUCACCAAAGUUAAGCAACAUUGAGCCUAGUCAGUACUUAGAUGGGUGGCUGUUUGGGAAUACCAGGUGCAGUAAG